UAAAGGUUCUGCCCUUUGUACACACCGCCCGUCGCUACUACCGAUUGAAUGGCUUAGUGAGGUGUUGGGAUUGGCUUCGGGGAGCCGGCAACGGCACCCUGUUGCUGAGAACUUCAUCAAACUUGGUCAUUUAGAGGAAGUAAAAGUCGUAACAAGGUUUCCGUAGGUGAACCUGCGGAAGGAUCAUUAUCGAUUUUUUGGUUGGGCUGUCGCUGGCCGCAAGGCAUGUGCACGCCUGGCUCAUCCACUCUCAACUUCUGUGCACUAUCGCAUGUAAGGUUGGCUUUGUGACGGAGGCUGGCUUCGCGGCUGGUCGUCGUUGUAUCGCUGCCUUGCGUGUUUCUUACUACAAACGCUUCAGUUAUAGAAUGUCUUUAUUUGCGGAUAACGCAACUAUAUACAACUUUCAGCAACGGAUCUCUUGGCUCUCGCAUCGAUGAAGAACGCAGCGAAAUGCGAUAAGUAAUGUGAAUUGCAGAAUUCAGUGAAUCAUCGAAUCUUUGAACGCACCUUGCGCUCCUUGGUAUUCCGAGGAGCAUGCCUGUUUGAGUCUCAUGGAAUUCUCAACCUUGCAGUUUUGUUACUGCGAGGCUUGGACUUGGAGGUCGUGUCGGCUCUCGCGAGUCGACUCCUCUGAAAUGCAUUAGUGCGGACGUUACCGGUCGCUUCAGCGUGAUAAUUAUCUGCGCUGCCGUCGACUGGUAUGUAAAGUACGCGCUUCUAACCGUCCUUCACGGGACAACACAUNGAAACUCUGAGCUCAAAUCAGGUAGGACUACCCGCUGAACUUAAGCAUAUCAAUAAGCGGAGGAAAAGAAACUAACAAGGAUUCCCCUAGUAACUGCGAGUGAAGCGGGAAAAGCUCAAAUUUAAAUCUGGCGGUCUUCGGCCGUCCGAGUUGUAAUCUGGAGAAGCGUCUUCCGCGCUGGACCGUGUACAAGUCUCUUGGAACAGAGCGUCAUAGAGGGUGAGAAUCCCGUCUUUGACACGGACUACCAGUGCUUUGUGAUGCGCUCUCGAUGAGUCGAGUUGUUG
rnacentral:rRNA from 1 species